UCAAAGUCAUUAAAAGUCAUGAUACUCUUAAUUCUCUCUGUGUUGUCAUUUCUUGCUCUUUUCCUGUCGGAGAAAGGGGAUAUGUCAUCUGACCAUCUCAAUCACAACAGGACAUUUCUACUAAUUCAAGUGGAAGGGUUGUUGUCAAUGGGUGCCAAA